UGACCAAUCCCGCUCGCGGGGUCUUGGGCACCGCCGCCUGGCGGGCCUCAAAAUCAGUGGCGGUCCGGCCGGGCCCUGAGCGUAGUACAUCUUCUCGCUACAGGGUCUUGGGCGGCACUGGCCAGCAACCCCCAAUCUUUCACA
rnacentral:misc_RNA from 1 species